rnacentral:rRNA from 1 species
CGGACGGGUGAGUAAUGUCUGGGAAGCUGCCCGAUGGAGGGGGAUAACUACUGGAAACGGUAGCUAAUACCGCAUAACGUCGCAAGACCAAAGAGGGGGACCUUCGGGCCUCUUGCCAUCGGAUGUGCCCAGAUGGGAUUAGCUAGUAGGUGGGGUAACGGCUCACCUAGGCGACGAUCCCUAGCUGGUCUGAGAGGAUGACCAGCCACACUGGAACUGAGACACGGCCCAG